rnacentral:rRNA from 1 species
AGUGAACGCUGGCGGUAGGCCUAACACAUGCAAGUCGAACGGCAGCACAGUAAGAGCUUGCUCUUACGGGUGGCGAGUGGCGGACGGGUGAGGAAUACAUCGGAAUCUACUUUUUCGUGGGGGAUAACGUAGGGAAACUUACGCUAAUACCGCAUACGACCUACGGGUGAAAGCAGGGGAUCUUCGGACCUUGCGCGAUUGAAUGAGCCGAUGUCGGAUUAGCUAGUUGGCGGGGUAAAGGCCCACCAAGGCGACGAUCCGUAGCUGGUCUGAGAGGAUGAUCAGCCACACUGGAACUGAGACACAGUCCAGACUCCUACGGGAGGCAGCAGUGGGGAAUAUUGGACAAUGGGCGCAAGCCUGAUCCAGCCAUACCGCGGGGGUGAAGAAGGCCUUCGGGUUGUAAAGCCCUUUUGUUGGGAAAGAAAAGCAGCAGGUUAAUACCCCGCUGUUCUGACGGUACCCAAAGAAUAAGCACCGGCUAACUUCGUG